rnacentral:rRNA from 1 species
CCUACGGGAGGCAGCAGUGAGGAAUAUUGGUCAAUGGUCGGGAGACUGAACCAGCCAAGCCGCGUGAGGGAUGAAGGUACAGAGUAUCGUAAACCUCUUUUGUCAGGGAACAAAGGCGGGGACGUGUCCCCGGAUGAGUGUACCUGAAGAAAAAGCAUCGGCUAACUCCGUGCCAGCAGCCGCGGUAAUACGGAGGAUGCGAGCGUUAUCCGGAUUUAUUGGGUUUAAAGGGUGCGGAGGCGGUUUGUUAAGUCAGGGGUCAAAGGCUGGGGCUCAACCCCAGAACCGCAGUUGAAACUGGCAGUCUCGAGUAGGAGAGAAGUAUGCGGAAUGCGCGGUGUAGCGGUGAAAUGCAUAGAUAUCGCGCAGAACUCCGAUUGCGAAGGCAGCAUGCCGGCUCCACACUGACGCUGAGGCACGAAAGUGUGGGUAUCGAACAGGAUUAGAUACCCGGGUAGUC